rnacentral:rRNA from 1 species
AUUGAACGCUGGCGGCAGGCCUAACACAUGCAAGUCGAACGGUAACAGGAAGCUGCUUGCUGCUUCGCUGACGAAUGGCGGACGGGUGAGUAAUGUCAGGGAAGCUGCCUGAUGGAGGGGGAUAACUACUGGAAACGGUAGCUAAUACCGCAUAAUGUCGCAAGACCAAAGAGGGGGACCUUCGGGCCUCUUGCCUUCGGAUGUGCCCAGAUGGGUUUUGCUUGUUGGUGGGGUAACGCAUCACCAAGGCGACGAUCCCUCGCUGGUCUGAGAGGAUGACCAGCCACACUGGAACUUAGACACGGUCCAUAGUCCUACGGGAGGCAGCAGUGGGGAAUAUUGCACAAUGGGCGCAAGCCUGAUGCAGCCAUGCCGCGUGUAUGAAGAAGGCCUUCGGGUUGUAAAGUACUUUCAGCGGGGAGGAAGGUAGUAAAGUUAAUACCUUUGCUCAUUGACGUUACCCGCAGAAGAAGCACCGGCUAACUCCGUG